CAAUCCCUCCACCAAAUUCUCCCUCUCUCACUUUCCUAAGGAGAUUCAAUCUAAAACACAAGAGAAUCAUUCUAAUGAAGGAAUUGGGAACUCUAGUAAGUUUGGUACCACGGGGAGGGUAUACGAUGUAGUUCGAGAAACAAUGCACUCUGCUA